CUUUAUUGGAGAGUUUGAUCCUGGCUCAGGAUGAACGCUGGCGGCGUGCCUAAUACAUGCAAGUCGAGCGAAUGGAUUAAGAGCUUGCUCUUAUGAAGUUAGCGGCGGACGGGUGAGUAACACGUGGGUAACCUGCCCAUAAGACUGGGAUAACUCCGGGAAACCGGGGCUAAUACCGGAUAACAUUUUGAACUGCAUGGUUCGAAAUUGAAAGGCGGCUUC
rnacentral:rRNA from 1 species